rnacentral:rRNA from 1 species
GACGAACGCUGGCGGCGUGCUUAACACAUGCAAGUCGAACGAUGACGACCGAGCUUGCUCGGUCUGAUUAGUGGCGAACGGGUGAGUAACACGUGAGCAACCUGCCCUUCACUCUGGGAUAACCUCGGGAAAUCGGGGCUAAUACCGGAUAUGAGCUCCUGUCGCAUGGCGGGUGUUGGAAAGUUUUUCGGUGAAGGAUGGGCUCGCGGCCUAUCAGUUUGUUGGUGAGGUAGUGGCUCACCAAGGCGAUGACGGGUAGCCGGCCUGAGAGGGCGACCGGCCACACUGGGACUGAGACACGGCCCAGACUCCUACGGGAGGCAGCAGUGGGGAAUAUUGCACAAUGGGCGAAAGCCUGAUGCAGCAACGCCGCGUGAGGGAUGACGGCCUUCGGGUUGUAAACCUCUUUCAGCAGGGAAGAAGCGAAAGUGACGGUACCUGCAGAAGAAGCGCCGGCUAACUACGUG